ensembl:processed_transcript
ACAUGACUCACCUCCAGUAUGAACAUAUCUCAGCUUAACAUGCUGUGUGUUGAUGCAGAAGAGAAGAUGAAGGAAAAUACACUGGGAUACUAUGAUGAUGUCAUCACUGAUGGACUGAAGCCAGAUUAUGAGACAGAAAACACACCUGAGAGCUAUGAUGAUGUCAUGACCAGUGAACAGAGCUCUAUUACGAAAGUGAACACAGCAGAGAGUUAUGAUGAUGUCAUCAUUAAUGGACAGAGGGAAACAGAGGGAGAUCAGGAGGAAUAUGAUGAUGUGAGUGAAGAUGUGACAAACCUGCUGGAUUAUGAUGAUGUGGACGAGGAGUUAAAUGAAGAGGGAGAGACAUUUGGGUCAACAAUCAAACCCAGUUAUUUGCUUCAACAGAUUUGAUCACUGAGAACUCAAGAGUGAUAUUGUAACUGAUAUCUCUGAUAUAUCUUUUAUAAUAAUUUUAUGAUUAUUUUAUGAUAAAAAAGUUAUUAAAGUUAUAUAUUUGAUGUGAUUUUUUUAUUCAGCUUUGUUCAUUGCAAUAAAAAUCUUGUUUAGGC